CGAACGCAAAUCGGUUUGUUUGUGCUAAUUGGUGUUGGGGGAGGAAAAUCUCCUGGUGUGUUCUGGUGAAGGGGGAUAAAAGUGGGCAUCUUCAAAAAUUGGUUUGAAAGCACCUGAGCGUGGAGCUGAGUGUGGCUCAGGUCGAGGCUCUGCCGCCGUAAAAUGCUCCAGUCAAGGCUGCUCUUUGUGUUGUGAAAAAAAAUCUGUUCCUCUUUCUUUUUCCUUUAUUUUCUGUUAACUAAUCACUUUUUCUUUUUCUUUUUUCUCCUUCCCCCGCCACACAGCAUCAUAAAAACCAAUCCGCUCUACUUGGAAACGUCUAUGUAGGGUAACAUGUAGGGAAAAAAAAA